rnacentral:rRNA from 1 species
AAUGAACGCUGGCGGCAUGCCUAACACAUGCAAGUCGAACGAAGGCUUCGGCCUUAGUGGCGCACGGGUGCGUAACGCGUGGGAAUCUGCCCUUGGGUUCGGAAUAACAGUUAGAAAUGACUGCUAAUACCGGAUGAUGUCGUAAGACCAAAGAUUUAUCGCCCAAGGAUGAGCCCGCGUAGGAUUAGCUAGUUGGUGGGGUAAAGGCCUACCUAGGCGACGAUCCUUAGCUGGUCUGAGAGGAUGAUCAGCCACACUGGGACUGAGACACGGCCCAGACUCCUACGGGAGGCAGCAGUGGGGAAUAUUGGACAAUGGGCGAAAGCCUGAUCCAGCAAUGCCGCGUGAGUGAUGAAGGCCUUAGGGUUGUAAAGCUCUUUUACCCGGGAUGAUAAUGACAGUACCGGGAGAAUAAGCUCCGGCUAACUUCGUG